UUUAUAUUAAAGGGCUGCAGUAUAUUGACUGUACAAAGGUAGCAUAAUCAUUAGUCAUUUAAUUGAUGACUUGUAUGAAGGAUUGGAUGAAAUAUAAACUGUCUCUUAAUUAUUAUAUUUAGAACUUAAUUUUUUAAUUAAAAAGUUAAAAUAUAUUAAAAAGACGAGAAGACCCUAUAGAGUUUUAUGAAUUAAAUUAAUUAAGAUUAUUUGUAAGAUUAAAAUUAAAAUUAAUUUAUUUAUUUUGUUGGGGUGACAGAAAAAUAUAAUAAACUUUUUAUAUAUUUAAAACAUUAAUAAGUGAUUAAAUGAUCCAAUAUUAUUGAUUAUAAGAAAAAAUUACCUUAGGGAUAACAGCGUAAUUUUUUUUUUUAGUUCAUAUAAAAAAAAAAGUUUGCGACCUCGAUGUUGGAUUAAGAUAAAAUUUAAAUGCAGAAG
rnacentral:rRNA from 1 species